rnacentral:rRNA from 1 species
GACGAACGCUGGCGGCGUGCUUAACACAUGCAAGUGGAGCGACGAACCGGGGCUUGCCCCGGGGCAGAGCCGCGAACGGGUGAGUAACACGUGGGUUACCUGCCCCGUUGACCGGGACAACCCGAGGAAACUCGGGCUAAUACCGGAUGAGCUCUCUUCCCAUCAGGGUUGAGAGGAAAGGAAGCAUCGGCCUCCGCAUCGGGAUGGGCACGCGGCCCAUUAGCUUGUUGGUGGGGUAAUGGCCUACCAAGGCUGCGAUGGGUAGCUGGUCUGAGAGGACGAUCAGCCACACUGGGACUGAGACACGGCCCAGACUCCUACGGGAGGCAGCAGUGGGGAAUCUUGCGCAAUGCGCGAAAGCGUGACGCAGCAACGCCGCGUGAGGGAAGACGGCCUUCGGGUUGUAAACCUCUUUCAGUUGGGACGAAGCCUUGUCGGUGAAUAGCCGGCGGAGGUGACGGUACCUUCAGAAGAAGCCCCGGCUAACUACGUGCCAGCAGCCGCCGCGGUAA